rnacentral:rRNA from 1 species
AGUGAACGCUGGCGGUAGGCCUAACACAUGCAAGUCGAACGGCAGCACAGUAAGAGCUUGCUCUUACGGGUGGCGAGUGGCGGACGGGUGAGGAAUACAUCGGAAUCUACUUUUUCGUGGGGGAUAACGUAGGGAAACUUACGCUAAUACCGCAUACGACCUACGGGUGAAAGCAGGGGAUCUUCGGACCUUGCGCGAUUGAAUGAGCCGAUGUCGGAUUAGCUAGUUGGCGGGGUAAAGGCCCACCAAGGCGACGAUCCGUAGCUGGUCUGAGAGGAUGAUCAGCCACACUGGAACUGGGACACGGUCCAGACUCCUCGGGGAGGCAGCAGUGGGGAAUAUUGGACAAUGGGCGCAAGCCUGACCCAGCCAGACCGCGUGGGUGAAGAAGGCCUUCGGGUUGUAAAGCCCUUUUGUUGGGAAAGAAAAGCAGCAGGUUAAUACCCCGAUGUUCUGACGGUACCCAAAGAAUAAGCACCGGCUAACUUCGUG